CCCGCACCGAAGGCGAGAGGGAUGCGGCGCCCGGCGAACGGAUGACCAGAUCGCCGGCUUGACAAAAGGUUAGGAAGCUCUCCUACGGGACACUCAUCAAGGCUGUCGAUCUUGGUGCAGCUAAUCGGCCGGCCGGUUUUUCUUCUCAAUGAGAUGGGGAAUGCUUUGAUCGCCGUUCCACUCCUCAAAAUCCAACGACAAGACGACCCGUCCUCCGCCGGUCGUCGACCCCUGCAGCCUACAGCCCGCGAUUCAGCCUCCUACCAGCCUUCAAGCAUCCGUCAAGGGCAACAAACCAAUCAGCGGCUCUGGCCUACAUCAUCAGUUAGGACGAGAGGGGAAGAGGCACACGAUCUAUACAGGUGGACAGAAAUUCUACAUAUACGUCACAAGUUAAGCCGAUGAUGGAGGAAUCUUCAAGAAAAGCCAUCAGGGGAUAAGAAAGGAAGAAGGUUUGCGUGUGCUGCAUCUUCUCAAGUAAAGGAGUGCUGGAUUUGAUGCCAGGGCUAGAUAAACUAGC